GAUGAACGCUGGCGGCGUGCCUAAUACAUGCAAGUCGAACGAGAUGAUUAAUCAUCGAGUGGCGAACGGGUGAGUAAAACAUAAGUAACCUGCCCUAGACAGGGGGAUAACUAUUGGAAACGAUAGCUAAAACCGCAUAGGUGUAGAGAUCGCAUGGUCAUUACAUUAAAGGUGCAAACAAGCACUGGUAGAGGAUGGACUUAUGGCGCAUUAGCUAGUUGGUAAGGUAAGGGCUUACCAAGGCGACGAUGCGUAGCCGACCUGAGAGGGUGACCGGCCACACUGGGACUGAGACACGGCCCAGACUCCUACGGGAGGCAGCAGUAGGGAAUUUUCGGCAAUGGACGAAAGUCUGACCGAGCAACGCCGCGUGAAGGAAGAAGGUUUUCGGAUUGUAAACUUCUGUUAUAAAGGAAGAACGAUAUAUAUAGGAAAUGAUAUAUAAGUGACGGUACUUUAUGAGAAAGCCACGGCUAACUACGUGCCAGCCGCCGCCGUAAAAC
rnacentral:rRNA from 1 species